GCGGGAAUAACUCAGUUGGUAGAGUGCCAGCUUCCCAAGCUGGAUGUCGCGGGUUCGAACCCCGUUUCCCGCUCCA
rnacentral:tRNA from 1 species